rnacentral:rRNA from 1 species
CAGUCGCCACGGUAAUACGAAGGGUGCAAGCGUUAAUCGGAAUUACUGGGCGUAAAGCGUGCGUAGGCGGUUUGUUAAGUCUGUUGUGAAAUCCCCGGGCUCAACCUGGGAAUGGCAAUGGAUACUGGCAAGCUAGAGUGUGUCAGAGGAUGGUGGAAUUCCCGGUGUAGCGGUGAAAUGCGUAGAGAUCGGAAAGAACACCAACGGCAAAAGCACUCUGCUGGGCCGACACUGACACUGAGAGACGAAAGCUAAGGGAGAAGAUGGGAUUAGAUACCCCAGUAGUCCCUGUCUCUUAUAC